rnacentral:tRNA from 1 species
UGGCUCAGUUGGUAGAGCAUGGUGUUUGCAACAUCCAGGAUUGUGGGUUCGAUUCCCAC